rnacentral:rRNA from 1 species
AUUGAACGCUGGCGGCAGGCCUAACACAUGCAAGUCGAGCGAGCGGCGGACGGGUGAGUAAUGUAUGGGGACUUCCCGAUUGAUGGGGAUAACUACUGGAAACGGUGGCUAAUACCGCAUACUAUCGGAUAACCCAUAUGGUAUUAGCUAGUAGGUGGGGUAAAGGCUCACCUAGGCGACGAGCUCUAGCUGUUCUGAGAGGAUGAUAAGCCAGACUGGAACUGAGACACGGCCCAGAAUCCUACGGAGGCAGCAGUGGGGAAUAUUGCACGAUGGGCGCAAGCAUGAUGCAGAAAUGCCGCGUGUAUGAAGAAGGCCUUAGGGUGGUAAAGUACUUUCAGCGGGGAGGCGGUGAACGAAGAAGAAGCAACGGCUAACUCCGUGCCAGCAGCCGCGGUAAUAC